CACCAGAUAGCUUAGUUGGUAGAGCACCUGACUAGAGAUUUAGGGAACCUGAGUUCGAAUCCCAGUCUGGUUC
rfam:Crassostrea gigas strain 05x7-T-G4-1.051#20 contig14157, whole genome shotgun sequence.